rnacentral:lncRNA from 1 species
UUUUUUUUCGUGGUCUGUUGCUUGUUGAUGAAUCAUUGCUAGUGCUCGAUUGAUGGAGUGAUUCAAUGUGUCAUUUGUAUUUAUAUUUCCAAGUAUACAAAUUCUACGAGCUUAUUUAAGUGCUUUGUCAGAAUUGUUGGUUACUGAAGUGUUUAUUUAUGUGAUGAACCUAGAUUUGUGAGCGAAAAUGGAAGUUUUGAGUUGAUGGCAUUACUUGAGCGAAUUUAUUUGCUUUUAAAAUGGUCUAGAAUUUCUUUAUUAUGGUGAUCAAUUGUGAUUAAUUACAUGUACACUUCAGUAUAGGUUUCAUAUAUUGGGAUUUACAUUUCUUUGUAUUAUUGAAAUAGUUUGUGGGCAUCUUUUGCAUAGUAUUAGAAAAGUUGGCCUCCUCCAUCAAAGGGGAGGUCCAUCAUUUAUCAUUUUUGUUUAUAUUAAUCUAGUCAUGCAACCUUCUGCCAAAUCCCGUAGAAUUACUAGUUAAAAGCAUGCAAUACCCCUACACAUUUAGAGCAUUUAAUAAACCAUUUCGACUUCAAGUUUAUGAGAUAUCCGUGCAUAUUUUACUUGUUGUAUAAGUGGCUAUAUGUAGUUGGCAUGUAAGGAGGUUUUUGCAUAAACUUGUGCCCACUCUUUUUAUAGUGAAAAUAUUUUUAUUUUUUGGAGGAUGCUUCUUUUUGGUGAUCUAAAAUAAUAUUGUUUCCACUCUGUAGGACUAUUUGUUUUUCAUGAAGAAAACCUCUUGUAGUGGUUGUGGUUGUGUCUCUGCUACUAAUACUAGACAAUAUUUUUCCUAACGUGUUGUGGUUGCUUUUAUUUCUCAACUAUUUUAGUAGUUUAAUUCUUCUGUGGAUUUGCAGUAGAUGAAGACACAAUGACAAUCAUUCCAGUUAUGAUUUGUGAUCGAUGUGAC